rnacentral:tRNA from 1 species
GCCCAGGUGGCGGAAUUGGCAUACGCGGCAGGUUGAGGGCCUGUGUCCAUUGGACGUGGAGGUUCGAGUCCUCUCCUGGGCA